CUGAUUCCAUUCCGAACUCAGAAGUGAAACGCAGUGACGCCGAUGGUAGUGUGGGGUUUCCCCAUGUGAGAGUAGGGCACCAUCAGG
rnacentral:rRNA from 1 species